rnacentral:rRNA from 1 species
AUGGCUGACGAAGAUGAGCUGAAGCUGUUGAGUACGUGGGCGAGCCCCUGGGCUUCUAUGGUGAAACUCGCGCUCCACCUCAAGGGCUUGAGCUACGAGAACAUCGAGCAGGACCUCAACUGCAAGAGUGACCUCCUCCUCGCGUUCAACCCAGUGCACAAGAAGGUGCCCCAUCCACAACGGCAAGCCAAUCUGUGA